AGUGGGGAAUCUUGCGCAAUGGGCGAAAGCCUGACGCAGCGACGCCGCGUGGGCGAAGAAGGCCUUCGGGUUGUAAAGCCCUGUGGGGGAGAACGAACUGGGUGGGGGCGAAUACCUCUCAUCCUUGACGGUACUCCUUUAGCAAGCAUCGGCUAACUCUGUGCCAGCAGCCGCGGUAAGACAGAGGAUGCAAACGUUGCUCGGAAUUACUGGGCGUAAAGCGCGUGUAGGCGGUCUGGUAAGUCGGACGUGAAAGCCCGGGGCUCAACCCCGGAAGCGCGCUCGAUACUGCUUGACUGGGGUCCUGAAGAGGAGAGCGGAAUUCCCGGUGUAGAGGUGAAAUUCGUAGAUAUCGGGAGGAACACCAGUGGCGAAGGCGGCUCUCUGGGCAGGUACCGACGCUGAGACGCGAAAGCGUGGGAAGCAAA
rnacentral:rRNA from 1 species